CACUUGAGCAGCGGUCUCCAACCACAGGGCCACAGAGCUGGAGCUGGAUCUACCAUGAACGACUUCUGAAUCCAGGAAGAGAGACUGACUGGGCAACAUGUUAUUCAGGUCUCCCUCUGUUGUCCAAGGCUGGAGUGUAGUAGUGCUAUCACAGCUGACUGCAGCCUCAACCUUCCAGGCUGAAGCGAUCCUCCCAUCUCAACCUCCCACGUGGCUGAGACUAUAGGUGCUUGCCACUAUGCCCAACUAAUAUUCGGAAUUUUCCUAUACGUGGAUUCCAGAGGGGUGACAGUGAAACGUGAGUGGGACCAUCUAGUUGCAGGAAAACAAGCUUAACACGCCCACUGAUUCUACAUUAUGCUCCUACCUCCCGGCAGCCUCUCCAGGCCCAGAACUUUCUCCAGUCAGCCUCUACAGACCAAGCUCAUGACUCACAAUGGCCUAUUUAGGCCCAUACCCUACCUCACGGCAGUCUCCGCAGAUGAGGCUACUGCCUCACAACAGCCUCCACAGGCACAGCUCCAUCGUUACAAUGGCCUCUUUAGACCCAGUUCCUGCCUCCCAGGCUUCUCUCCAGGCCCUGAACUUUCUCAAGUCGACCUCACCAGACCCAGCUCCUGCCACUCAUUGGCCUCCCAAGGGCCAGCUUUUGCCUCACGGCCACCUUCCAAGACCCAGCUCCUGUUGUACAGUGGCCUCUUGAGGCCCAUCUUCUGACUCCGGGCAGCCUGUACAGGCCCAGCUCCUGCCUUACAAUGGCCUCUUUAGUCCCAGCUCCUGCCUCUUUGCAGGAGGCCCAAAUGUCCUCAAGUCCAGGCCACAAAAUCCAGGGCCAAAAUGUCCACAAGUCGGCCUCUCAAGGCCCAGCUCCUGCCUUUCGUUGGCAUCUCCAGGCCCAGCUGCUGCCCCCAGGUGGCCUCUACAGGCCGUGCUCUUUCUUCUGACUGUGUCUGGAGGUCCAACUCCUGCCUCAGAACAACCUCUUUUGGCUCAGCUCCUGCCCAGCUCCUAGUGGCCUUUGUAGGCCCAAAACUGCCUCAAGUCAAGCUUUCCAGGCCCACCUUCUGCCUCCCAAUGGCCUGGACAGGCCCAGCUCCUGCGUGACAAUGGCCUCUCCAGGCCCAGCUUUUGCCUCACAGAAGCCUUCCCCAAACAAGGUCCUACCUGCCUCCCAGCAGCCUCAACAGGCCCAGAUCCUGCUUCACACUAAUCUCAUUAGGCCCAGCUCAUACCUCACCGUGGCCUCUCCAGGCCCAGCUCCUGCCCCUCGACAGGCUGUCCGUGCCCGAAACUUCCUCAAGUCGGCCUCUCCAGGCACAGCUCCUGCCUAACAUUGGCCUCUUUAGGCACAGCUCAUGCCUUGGUGGCCUCUCCAGGCCCAGCUCCUGCAUCCCAGCACCUUCUCUAGACCGAGAACUUUCUCAAGUCUGCCAUUCCAGGCCCAACUCGUGCCUUCCGUCAGCAUCUACAGGCUCAACCUCUGCCUCACAGCACAUUUUCCCAGCCCAGCAUGUGCCUCACCGCAACCCCCUAGGCCAAGCUCCUGCCUUUCAGCAGCCUCUACAGGCCCCACUCCUACCUCAAUGGCCUCUCUAGGGCAAACUUAUGCCUCACAGUGGCCAUUCUGGCCCAGCUUUUGCCUUUUGGCAGCAUCUCCAGACCCAGAACUUCCUCAAGUGGGCCUCUCCAGGCCCAGCUCUUCCUCCUGGUGGCCGCUGCAGGCCCAGACUGUUGUCAAGUCGGCCUUCCAGGGUCAGCUCCUGCUCCCGGGCCGCCUCUGCAGGCCCAGGUCGUCCUCAAGUCGGCCUCCACAGGCCCAGCUCCAGCCUCUCGGCGGCCUCUCCGGGUGCAAAAGUUCCUCGAGUCAGCCUCUCCAGACCCAGCUCCUCCUGCCUCCCAGUGGCCUCUUUCAGCCCAGCCCAGCUCAUGCCUCCUGGCGGCCUUCCCAGGCCCCGCUUUUGACUUUUGGCGGCCUCUGCAGGCCCGAAUUUGACCUCCAGUCGGCCUCUCCAGGCCCGGCCUCCUGCCUCCCGAAGGCCUGCACAGGCCCAGCCUCUGCCUCACAGCAGACUAUCCACGCCCAGCUAGCCCUCGCCUCACUGCGGCCUCCCCAGUCCAAAGCUCCUGCCUCUCAGCCGCUUCAGCAGGCCCAGCUCCCGCCUGCCAGUGGCCUCUUCAGGCCCAUGGGGCUCAUUCCUCACAAUGGCCUUUCCAGGCCCAGUUUUUCCCUUCCGGCGGCCUCUGCGGGCCCAGAACCUCCUCAAGUUGGCCUCUCCAGACCCACUUGCAGCCUCCCGGCGUCCUCUCUGUAGGCCCAUCUUGGUGUCCUCUCCAGGCCCUUCCCCUACCUGUUGGCUGGCGGCCUCUAGAGGCACAGCCUCUACUUCAUCAGUGGGCCCUCCAGGCCCACCUCUUGCCUCGCUGUGGCCCCCUCGGGCGAGGCUCCCGCCUCGAGGCAACUUUGCAGGCUUAGCUGCUGCCUCGCAGAGGCCCUCCGGAGGCUAAGCUCAUGUGUCACGGCGGCCUCUCCCGGCCUGACGUUUGCUCCUUUGCAUGCGCUCCAGGCCCUGCACUUCCUCCAAUCGGCCUCUCCAGGCCCAGCUCUUCCUCCCAGCAGCCUGUGCAGGCCCAGGCUGUCAUCAAGUCGGCUCCUCUAGGCCCAGCUUGGGCCUCCCGGCGGCCUCUGCAGGCCCAAGUCGUCCUCAAGUUAGCCUGGAAGUGGGCCUGGAAGAGCUGCAAGUCAGCCUUCCCAGGCCCAGCUCCGUCCUCUUGGCGCCUCUCCAGGUGCAAAACUUCCUCGAGUCAGCCUCUCCAGGCCCAGCUCCUCCUGCCUCCCAGUGGCCUCUUUUGGCCCAGCCCAGCUCAUGGCUCUCGGCGGCCUUCCCUGGCCCUGCUUUUGACUUUCGGUGGCCUCUUCAGGCCCAGAACUUGACCACCAGUCGGCCUUUGCAGGCCCAGCCUCCUGCCUCCCAAAGGCCUGCACGGGCCCGGCCUCGGCCUCACAGCGGACUCUCCACACCCAGCUAGCUCUCGCCUCACUGCGGCCUCCCCAGUCCAAAGCUCCUGCCUUUCGGCUGCUUCGGCAGGCCCAGUUCCCGCCUGCCAGUGGCCUCUUUAGGCCCAGCUCAUUCCUCACAACGGCCUUUCCAGGCCCCGUUUUUCCCUUCCGGCAGCCUCU
rnacentral:lncRNA from 1 species